UACGGGGGGGGCAAGCGUUGUUCGGAAUUACUGGGCGUAAAGGGCUCGUAGGCGGCCAUCUAAGUCGAACGUGAAAUCCCCGGGCUCAACCCGGGAACUGCGUCCGAUACUGGUUGGCUUGAAUCCGGGAGAGGGAUGCGGAAUUCCAGGUGUAGCGGUGAAAUGCGUAGAUAUCUGGAGGAACACCGGUGGCGAAGGCGGCAUCCUGGACCGGCAUUGACGCUGAGGCGCGAAAGCCAGGGGAGCAAAGCGGGG
rnacentral:rRNA from 1 species